rnacentral:rRNA from 1 species
GUGAGUAGAGCGGCGGACGGGUGAGUAAUGCUUGGGAAUCUGCCCAAUAGUGGGGGAUAACGUGUGGAAACGCACGCUAAUACCGCAUACGUCCUACGGGAGAAAGCAGGGGAUCUUCGGACCUUGCGCUAUUGGAUGAGCCCAAGUCAGAUUAGCUAGUUGGUGAGGUAAUGGCUCACCAAGGCUUUGAUUGGUAGCUGGUCUGAGAGGAUGACCAGCCUCACUGGAACUGACACACGGUCCAGACUCC